UACGGGAGGCAGCAGUGGGGAAUAUUGCACAAUGGGCGAAAGCCUGAUGCAGCUAUGCCGCGUGUAUGAAGAAGGCCUUAGGGUUGUAAAGUACUUUCAUCGGGGAGGAAAAACAAAACUAAUAAUUUUAUUUCUUGACGUUACCCGAAAAAGAAGCACCGGCUAACUCCGUGCCAGCAGCCGCGGUAAUACGGAGGGUGCUAGCGUUAAUCAGAAUUACUGGGCGUAAAGAGCACGUAGGUGGUUUUUUUAAGUCAGAUGUGAAAUCCCUGGGCUUAACCUGGAACUGCAUUUUGAAACUGAAAUACUAGAGUAUCGUAGAGGGAGGUAGAAUUCUAGGUGUAGCGGUGAAAUGCGUAGAUAUCUGGAGGAAUACCUGUGGCGAAAGCGGCCUCUAAACGAAUACUGACACUGAGGUGCGAAAGCGUGGGGAGCAAACAGGGAUUAGAUACC
rnacentral:rRNA from 1 species